rnacentral:rRNA from 2 species
CGGGAAACCGGAGCUAAUACCGGAUACGUUCUUUUCUCGCAUGAGAGAAGAUGGAAAGACGGUUUACGCUGUCACUUAUAGAUGGGCCCGCGGCGCAUUAGCUAGUUGGUGAGGUAAUGGCUCACCAAGGCGACGAUGCGUAGCCGACCUGAGAGGGUGAUCGGCCACACUGGGACUGAGACACGGCCCAGACUCCUACGGGAGGCAGCAGUAGGGAAUCUUCCGCAAUGGACGAAAGUCUGACGGAGCAACGCCGCGUGAACGAAGAAGGCCUUCGGGUCGUAAAGUUCUGUUGUUAGGGAAGAACAAGUACCAGAGUAACUGCUGGUACCUUGACGGUACCUAACCAGAAAGCCACGGCUAACUACGUGCCAGCAGCCGCGGUAAUACGUAGGUGGCAAGCGUUGUCCGGAAUUAUUGGGCGUAAAGCGCGCGCAGGUGGUUCCUUAAGUCUGAUGUGAAAGCCCACGGCUCAACCGUGGAGGGUCAUUGGAAACUGGGGAACUUGAGUGCAGAAGAGGAAAGUGGAAUUCCAAGUGUAGCGGUGAAAUGCGUAGAGAUUUGGAGGAACACCAGUGGCGAA